rnacentral:lncRNA from 1 species
UUGUUAAAGAUGAUAGAAUACUUCUUUAAAAUAACAAGAAAAUGAAACGGUAUGCAUACAUUUUUUUUUUUAACACAAUAUCAAAUAUAUCAUACAACAGAACAUUUCAUGACCAUGACCAACCAUCCAUAGGAACUAUUCAAUGGUUUUAUUCAUACAAGCAAAAGUUCUAAAUAAAGUAGCAAGAUUAUUAUGUUCUUGCUACUUCCAUUACAAAGGAUUACAUUAAUAAUACAUAAUUAAGCACUAAUUAAUUAGUUCUGUGGCUCAGAUUCAGUGGCUAUUCCCAAGGCCAUGUAUUCUUCAUAGGUGCAGCAUUUGUGAUAUUUGCAUUUAUGGUAACAUCCUUUAUGAUAGCCACCCUUUUUAUAGCCACCUCCGCCAUAGUAAUGGUCAACAUCUACUUCUUUUUCCGCUGCAUCGAUGAAUUGAGAAUAUUAAAACUAGUGAAUAUGCAUUGACUGAUCUUUGAAUUGAAAUUUCUUUUACUAUACAUAUAUUUAUAUAAAUUUUUUUGUUUUAAUCUGAUAUGUUUAAGUUCGCAAGAUUCAAAGGAUAUUUUAAUAUGUUCUACACACAUUUAUAUAAAUUGGUUCUUUUUUUUUUUUUUUUCUUUGGAAUGAAUUCAAUUACAUAAAGAGAAUGAAAGAUGGUACUUACAGUUGGGAGUCUCAGUCAAGUUGGGAGUCUCAGAUUCAGUGGCUAUUCCCAAGGCCAUGUAUUCUUCAUAGGUGCAGCAUUUGUGAUAUUUGCAUUUAUGGUAACAUCCUCCUUUAUGAUAGCCACCCUUUUUAUAGCCACCGCCGCCAUAGUAAUGGUCAACGUCUACUUCUUUCUCCGCUGCAUCGAUGAAUUGAGAAUAUUAAAACUAAUGAAUAUACACUGUCUAAUCUUUGAAUUGAAAUUUCUCUUACUAUACAUAUAUCUAUAUAAAUUUUUAGUUUCAAUAUAAUAUAUUUAAGUUCGCAUGAUUCAAAGGAUAUUUUAAUAUGUUCUACACACCUUUAGUUUAGUUUAUAAGGAUUGAAAAGUUUAUGCUAUAUUCUUCAAAUUCAUGCAUAGCGAGUGAGACAUAAAAUGAAGCAUAAGGAAGGUAUAUCAAGUGUCAUGAUCAAGCUAGUGUUAGUAAAACAUUAGCUUAUCGUCUAACAUUCAUAAAACCUUACAAAUUUUAAUUCAUGGUCUAAUUUUAUAUGCUGGACAUAUCUUUAAUAUGUUACUUUUUUUUUUAUUUAAAGUUAAUUACCCAGAGAUUCGAUGGAAAGAGCAAUAAAAACGCAUAAAGUAAUGCGUAAAGAUAUGCUAAUAUGCCUACAUAGUAACAUCAAUAGUUUUUUUUUUUUUUCUUCGAAUGAAUUCAAUUACAUAAUGAAAGAUAUACUUACUGUUGGGAGUCUCACUCAACUCCCUAGCUACUACUUCGGAGCUUAUCAUUAAGAAAAUAGCCAAAAAUAGGCCUAGCAAUAGAAAUGUUUUGGAACCCAUUCUUUUUUUAUUCCAAAGCUUAGUACUUAUAAUAACUCAAAAUUGAGGGAUGAAGAAACUGAUACAUUCUUGGGCUCUAUUUAUAGGAAGAUUUAUGUGCAUAAAUAAUUGAAGAGAGAUGUAAAACUAGGAGGGGGAGGGACAUGUAUUGGGAUGCAAUUAUUGUUGUGGACCAAAGAAACUUAACAACUUGGUCUACAAGUGAGUUAAAAGAGAUUGUUGAAUUAACUUACUCAAAUUUUUUUUUAAAGUGACAACUCUAACAAGUUUUGUUGUUACUAUAGUAAAGUUGUAAGUAUAUUCUUAAUCUUAAUCAAAUAUUUUAAACUUGAGUUUUGCAUAUGAAGAUCAUUUGUUGACAGUGUUUUAUCAUCUGAAACUUUUUGGUGUGUAUUCCAAAUUUAAUUUAGAUCUAAUACAAAUAUAGUGAUAUAUGAAUACUAGACAUCGAAUGAAACAUAAAAUAAAGUAAAAAAACAAGUCAUCUACAAAGUGUAGGCGUUGCAAGAAAAGUUUUCACAAUGUUCCAACUAAGAAAAUAAAACAAAAAAGAAAAUGAAGAACCUAACGGAUAUUGUGAGUGAUUUUGUUGAAUAUUUUGUCAAUUUGAAUUAUGACAAACGCUUUAUUAGUCACGCAAAUAUUAUGACUUAAUAAGGGUGUGUUUUGCAUGAAGAAAAAUGUUUUUUCAUGAAAUACAUUUUCAUAGAAAAUAUUUUCUCGAAAUAUAAGUGAUUUUUUUAGUUAAUUUUUGAUAAGUAAGUAAAACUGUAAAAGAAUAUUAUAAUAUUAAGAACAUUUAAAUAAAUCUCGCAAUAAGAGGGUUGGAGAAUGAGGGUGAACGGGUAAAAUACUCAAGGGUUGUAGGUGUUGGAAAGCAAAAUUGAAGUAGAUAAAUUUAAUAUUUAAGUUUUAAAAUAUGAAUGUUUGAAAACUCUGUAAAAAUGCUAUAAGCUACUCUCUUCGUUUUAAAUUACUUAACCUCUUUGUACUUGACCCACCCUUUAAGACGCAAAACGAUUGAAGGUGUAUUUUUACCCUUAUAUCCUAAUAUUUAAGCAAUGAUUAUGGAGCAGAAGCCAAAAAUCAAUUUAUUUGAAAAAUUAGAUUUAUUAAACAAAAAUGACUAUGGAGUAGUACUAAAAGGGAGCAAGGAUCGUUUACAUUUAAAUGACUUUGGAAUUAAAUAAUUCUAUUUUUAAAAUUUUUAGAAAGUAUAAUGCUUAAUAGGGAUGAAAGUGAAAAAAGAAAUCUAAAAUAAUCUCAAUUUUAUAAACAUGAUAAGUAAUUUAAAAUAAAUAAAUAUAAAAAAUAGGCCAAAAAAUUUAAAAGAGAAAGAAUAUAAUAAUAUUAAUAUAAUAGAAAAAAUGCAUCUUAAGUUGUUAGUAAUUCAUCUGCAAUGAAACACCGUUAAAGUAGAUUUGGGUUGGUGGCCCAGAAAUUAAUGCACGUAGAAAAUUUCAAAGUCUUACUUAUCAACAGAGGCGGACGUAGAGUAGAAGCAAAAAUCCAUAUCUGUUAUUGUAAGACUUAAAAUUAUAUAGAGAAAUCGUUAAAAGUUAUAAAUAUUAAUAGGUAAGAACCAUAACUAAACCAAAGGAUAGCUUAGUGGCAAGAAAAGAGCCCUUAAAAAUCCACAAAUUCAAAAUUUUGAAUCCGCCUAUGCUUAUCAAUUGACUUAUCAAAGGCUCUUCCAUCUUGCUCUGCUGCCACAUCACUUAAUCUUCUCCAAAAAAAUAUUUUUCAUGAAAAAUAAUAUAAUUCCACCCAAUGACAAAUAUUAUUGGCAUAUAUAAGGUGUGUUCGUUAUGAUACUUUUUAAAAAAUAAUUUUUUAAAAUAAAACUAGAAAAAACAAAUUUUACUAACAAAACUUAUCUUCACCAACCCAUCCCCAUUCCCCAUCAAUCCAUAUUCCAUACCCCCACCGUCAUCUAGCACAUGGAUGGCACCACCUUCUUCUUAGGCGAAAGGUGGCUCAGUGCAUACUAUUUAUCAAAAAAUAAUGUGUUCUACUAAAAUUAAAGAUUAGUUAUUAUGAAUAUUUAUUUAAUUUUACAUAAUUAAAAAAGAUUUACACACACUUCAUUAAUAUAAUAUCCCUUGACUUACCUAUCGAACUCAAUAAAAUAAGUACCUACAUAUUUCUUUGAGAUCUAAUACAUCCAAUGUCAUAAUUCAUUCAAUAUUAAUAUAUAAUUAGAUAUAUAUUUUCGUAUUUAUUUUUAAAAAUUUGCCCAACUUGUAAGUUGUAGGACUACCUUAUCCUAAAAUAUCUAGAAGUAGUGGUGCAUACAUACUCUUUGAUAUAGUCAAUAUUUAGAGAAUUAAAUGACGAAUUCAAUGACUCUUUUAGUGUACGAUCAAGUUUAAAUAAGAGGGGACAAAUCUCUUCGAUUUGAUUAAAACUGGAGAAAAGUCUUCCAGAAAAGACCCAACAAUACAACAAUAAAAAUUCUUAUUUGUUUGGCCUAAUGCAUGGUAGAGUCAGAAUUUCUAGUAAAUGGAUUUUAAAAAUAAUUAACCAUGUUAAUAGGACUUUAAAAAUAAAUAGAUCAAAUUUGAUUUGAGUAAGUUAGACAAAGUUUCAACUUUACCUCAACAUGAAUAACAAAAUAUAGAAAGUUAAACUUUUUUAUUUUGAUCAUGCGGUCAAACAUACAAUCUUUAAAUUUUUUUUUAAAAUAAAUUACAUAUUUAGAAAUUACAUAAAAAGUAUAAUAAAUUACCAGAAUUGAAUUUUACGUUUAAGUUGUUUAUACAUUAACAUAAUAAACUAAUACUAAUUUUCUCUUAAUUUUAAGAAGAGAAGAUCUAAAAUAUUUUAAAUCAGUCAAAAUAGAUAAACAACAAACAAAAGUAUAAUUUUGUGAAAAAAAAAAAGUUAACCAUCAAAUUAAUAACCUGAAAAGUGAGAGAUAAGAGAAAUCAAAAGAGGGACAGAAUGUAAGAGAACAAGAAAGUAAUUAAGUAACUAGAAAUUUAAUCCCAAAGCUAAUAUAGAAGAUACAAAAAAAUGAUGUUAUUCAGACUCGAAUGCACGCUGAAUCAGAAAUUUUGCACCCUUCACCAUUGAACUAAGCUUUAGCCUUCUUUUCGAUGGUGGAAGGACCACGCUAGUCCUUUGAGUGUGUGGUGUGUAGUGGGUGCGUCUUAGUGUCUUCUUACUACGUGUCAAUGGGAUUCGGUGCUUAACAUAUAUACAAUAAAUCAAAAUUUUGAUUGUAUAUACACAGUGUAAUUUUUUGAAGAAGGGGGGUCGAUGAACCCCUGGACUCCAUGUAGAUCCGACAUUGCCUAAUAGAGUUUAUAUAUGUGUGUAUGUAUAUAUAUACACACACACUCAUAUACACACAUAUAUAUAUAUUGAUGGCAUAAAAUAUUCGUAUAUUAUUUAUUCAUCUUUAAAAUGUUUAUAAUUACUUUUUAGUAUUUAUGUUUUAGAGGAUGCACAGAAGACACAUAAAAUUUCAUAUUUUUAACACAAGUAUCUUAAUUCCUAAGUUGAUGAGGAAAAAAAAAAUGAGCAAGACAUAAGUCAACAGAGAUAUAUUUAGACUUAGAGGUCGUUUAAUAGAGUGUAUUAAAAUGUUAAUGCAUACAUUGGUUUAAUGUCUAUUAGUAGUACCUUGUUUGGUAUACCUUUUUAUCCUAUGUAUAACUAAUGCAAACAUUAGUUAUACACUCUAUUGUGUAUUAAGGUGUAUAUUACUAAUAACUCAAAAUUCAUGCAUUAACAUACUUAAAGACUCAAUUAUCCCUCAAAAAUUUUUUUGCAUCUUUUCCAACAUAUAUAUUGAGGGUAUUAUGUAAAAAAAAAAUUUUUUUUUAGAAAUUAUGUAAUUCAUGUUUUUUUAAUACAUCGAAGCAAACACUAUAUAAGAAAAAUAUAAAUAUAACUAAUACAAAUAUUAUUAAUACUAGCAUUACUAAUAUAUUAUAUUUUGUAUUAUUGUUAUACAUUUUACCAAACGAUCUCAUAGUGAUGGAGAGAGAAAUACUGUUUUGGAUCUUAUUGCUCCACGAUAUGAGAGAAUUUUCUAAAAGCUGACAUGAGCCACUAGUGCUUUUUUCUGCAUAAUACACAUAUAUUCUCACAUGCAAGUGUACAAGUAGGACCCAUAAGAGUGCAAGAGGAUUUAGCAUUCUUCAUACCAAACUUCUCAAGGAGCUCUUUGGUAUAUUUAUUUUGGCAAAGAAAGGUCCCCUCAGAUGACAGAUGUAUUUGCCAACUCAAAAUGAAUGUUGAUUUUUCUAUUAGAAUUUCCUUGCAUUAGAACAAAAUUUUUUUGCAUAAGACAAUAUUAUUACUUCCAAAGAUAACAUCAUAGAUCUGAAUAAUUAAGUUUUCAGAGGAAAUUCUUAUGAUAAAAGGAGUUGUAUUAAUUUCUUUUUUUAAAAAAAUAAAAUUGCGAUAAAGAAAUUGAUCUAUUUAUCAUAUCAAGCUCGAGAAGCUUGUUUUUAAAUCACAGAGAAUUUUUUGAAAGUUUAAAAACAUGAUUGGAAACCUAUGAUUUUCAAAACCUGAGGUUUUUACAAAAACUUAAUAAACCCAUUUAAAAACAUCCAUUUAAACAAGAUUUGAAUAGAUUCUAACCUUGUAACUGUUGCAAAAGUUUUAUCAUAAUUGUCUCCCUCUUGUUGUGAGUAGCCUUGAGCUAUUAGACAAACUUUUUUCUCCCAUAACUUUAUCUGAUUCAUUCAUCUCAUUUGGUUAUAAUGAUUAAGGCAUUCUCUAGUCCACACAUUAUUUUUAUCAAUUUGCUCGAGCUCUUUUUUCAUUGUUUUGACCCAAUAAUCAUCUUUUGAAGUCGCAUUCACUUUCAUUAGAUCAAGUUGAGAUAUGAAGGCAAUAUUUGCAUGUCUUUAACUGGAAUCUCUUAUAAGCCAUUAUUUUGAUCAUCUUAAUUAAGUGAUCGAUCAUGUUCACUUUGGAAUUGCUCCAAGUUCAAUUUGAUGCUUUAGAGGCAGCAGUUAAGCAGACAAUAAACUUAGUAGUAGAGUCAACAACAUUUCCCCCCUAUUAUUAUGAACAAAGCAUUUGUAUGAAAGUGCACAAUGUUGGGCCUUUGGUUGUUUCAAAUUUUGUAAAGAGUUUUCUUAAAUAAAUCUGCUGAGGCAUUUAUUGCUUUGCCAUUGGAGCUAUCUGUAAAACAUACUUCAAAAUCAUUUUCUUCUUCAAAUAAGCUUUGUACCCUGUGAAUUGAAUUUCCACUUUCAAGCUUCCAUUUCCUAUUAGCUUUUGAGUGGAGUUCCUGCAAAAUAAUUAUAUUACUUAUUUCUAUGUACCCAAGUGUUCUUAGGUAUCCCAUGGUUAGUUAAAUGUGUUGACUCAAUUUUGAGUCUCCAAAUUCAUUUGCUAGAAUUUCUAGAUCGAAAUCUGCAAUUAUAGUAUUUGUAAUUCGGUUUACCACGGUGAUAAUAAGAAGUAAGUAUUGUUCAGUGACUGCAUAAUAGGUAUUAUAAUUGUGAGUAGUUCUUUUAAUCGAUCGACUCGAGUUUAUUGACCGUUGAGAUCCUUCAUAGCUAUAGAAUCUACUAUUACAAGUUCCAGUGUCACAUUUGUCAGUUGACUGCGUCAACUGAAUUGAUCUGACAAUACUAUGACUUGUAGAUUUCGAAAGUCAUUAAUUUUAAUUUUUAAAUCAUCAACUUCUUAAUAUAAAUAAUUUUUUUCGAUUUCAUAAACUUCAAGUUUAAGUUUUCAGUCUCUUCUCUCUCUUAAUAAAGCCCUUUUUCUCAUCAUGGGCUUUAUUUCGAUCCGCGCUGGCAAGAUCUAACAGAUUUUACAGUUUAGAACAUUCAUUAUAGGAAUUGGUUCUUACCUAACUAGACUUUUCAAUUUUCAUGAAAUAACAGUCUCCAAUACUAUUGUUAUCAUGGUCGACUUGUUCUUUAUCAUCUUAGCCUUUUGAUUUUUUUUUUUUUCAUGGACUCUACAUGAAUAGAUUUCAAUUUGUUUCAUAUUUCUUUAGUUGUUUACAGGUGGAUAUUUUCUCACAUUCUUUUCCACUAAGAGCACAACGAAGCAAGUAGAUUGCCCUAACAUUUGUUUGCACAAUAUCCAAAUGUUCUUUUGUGUAGUCAAAUGUGACGGUCUUUUUUUCAAAUUUCUUUUCAUUAUUUUUCAAAAUCUGCCUUGGCCCAUUUUGAAUAACUAGUCAUGCUUUAUAAUUUGUUGAUUGAACGUAAGUGUUCAUUUUUGUGUUUCACUGACUAUAGUAUAGACUGUUAAGGAAGGUUGAUUGGCUUAUUGAAAGUCCCUCUUGAAAUAUGACUUCAGUAAUUUGAUAUUCUGCCAUGAAUCUGUAUUCAUUUUUUGUUAAGCAAAAACGGAGAUGUGAGACGAGGCUUUGAUAUCAAUUGAAAGUAGUAAGACGAGGAAAGGGGUGAAUUACUCUUGUUUUGACCAAACAAUCGACUUCAUUCAACAAUUAGUCGACUAUUGAUUGUAGUAAUAAAGUGUUCAGGAAAUAAGGAGCUGAAGAUAAAAUUAAACUAGAUAUUUGAUACUAAUUGAGACCUCUAAUUGGGUUUUACUUCAAUCUCCUUGGAUUGCAAGGGAUUCUACUAGUUCUUUAUGAAUAAAAUCAAAGUACAAGAUUGAGUCAAGUUUUUUGACUUUGACUCACCCUCUCUUCUUUUCUUUCAUACUUCGAUACAAUGUCUCAUCAAAUAUGUGUUUCUCUCCUCGAUCUCUUUUUAAGUACACAGUAAACGUUUAAGAGAAUACAUUGCUUGAGUAAAGUAGAGCAAAGAACUAGAAAAAAUUGAGACAAGUGUAUAUCUCUUUCUUAGUUUUUCAUUGCUUAAAUAGUACUGAUUAGACUACUACUAAUCAUUGAAAAAUAUGAGGCAACCCAAGAAUUUUUUUCCUUGAAAAUAAGAUAAAAAAAUCUUAUUUUCAAGAAUAGAAUGAAUCAUAUUAAUGAUUCCAAACUAUCCAUAAUAUUAUUUCAUAGAACUAGUCACACGCUUAAUGAAAUAUCAUGUUGUGGUACUUCUUUUCAUAGUGAUGCGGAUUUGUGAUUACCCUUGAAAGAGGAUACAUGUUUCUUUUCCCUUUUUAAAUUGAUUCUUUGAAAAAAAAAUUAUUUGCAGCCAAUUUUCCUUUUUAAUUGUAGUGAAGAAUAUUUGAUACUAUUUUCAGAGAUCGGGCUUUCUGAUUUGUAGCCACUUUUUCUUUUUAUUGUACCCAAGAAUCUUUGACAUCAAUAUACCUGCAGAGGAAGUCAUAUAUUAAAACAUCAGAUUAUCACAAAUCUCCGAUACCCAACAUAUUAUUUCUAUAAUAUGAAUUUUCUUCUUGGGUACAAAAUUUUAGAACAAAAAUGUCUGAACAGAUCGAGCAACAAUGAAAUUAGCUAUCCUCAUUGUUAAUUUAAAGCUAAAUUACUUGUAAUUAAUUAACAAACUUUUCAAUGAUUUAUUGCUAAUCCUUAGUCAAGUAAGAUUAACAAUAAUGCAUUAGCGAAGAAUCUUGUUAUUUUGCUAUAAAUUAAUUUGUCCAUCUUUAUUUUCUAGUAAUGAUAUUCUAAUUUUAAUGUUGUCCAAUUUGUAAUCAUUCCCCCUAAUUAUCUUCUCUAUCAAUCGACGAUAUUGUUGCAACUGAACAAUUGAAACCAUUAAAACUCAAUGAGACACCAAUAUAUGCUUGGACGGAUGAUCACCUUGUCUAUGUCCUAUUUACACUUCAAAGAAAUAUAAUUAAUCACCUUGGGUGUGUUUGGUACGAAGGAAAACAUUUUCCAGAAAAUGUUUUCCAAUUUUGUUGUGUUUCGUUGGCUUAUAUGUUUUGAAAAAUAUUUUUCAAACCAACUUAUUGUUCUUAAAUCUAAGGAAAAUGACUUCCUUCAAAGAGUAAGGAAAACAUUUUCCAAAACUCUCAUUCAAUCUCACUUUAAAGUUGAAAUAUUCGUACAAUUCUCAAAAUCAUCUAACUCGCCCCCUUGCCUCUCCCCCAAUACCCUAUCACCCCGACACUACCCCUACCCCCACCCCCAAAAUUUCAUUAUUUUAAAAAGUAUUUCAAAAUUUUUUCUUAAUCCAUCCCUUACCUCCACCCCACCCCUCUUCCAAAAAACAAUAUCUACAUUUUACUAAAAAAUUCAAACUUUUCUCUUAUCCCCCUUCCCUCCCCCCACCAGCCUCUCUCCCAUCCCUCCAUCCCAUAACCUAAAGAAAAAAAUUAAAUUUAUUUUUAAAAAAAUUUCAAUUUUUUUCCUCCCCCUUCCCCCUUCCCCCUCACUCCCCUAUCCUGACCCCUAGCUCCAGGGACGGACCCACGUGUAAUUUUGGAGUGCUUCGACACCCACUAAAUUCGACGUAGAUUAGGUAUAAUUAUAUAAAAAAUACAGAAUAAAUGGUAUAAUUUAUUAAAAAGCACCCAGAGAACAAACAUAUGGUUAGGUGUUCCCCCUCCCCCUCCCCCUAAAUUCAAUUUUUUUUCUUAUCCCGCCCCUACUACCUAUUCUGACACCCCCACCCACUCACCAACCAAUCCCCUUCCCAAAAAAAGAUUUAAUUUUUUUAUUUUUUAUUUAAAAAGGAUUCUAAAAUGUAUUUUUACGCUUUAUCUAAACACUAAUAUGUAUUUUUUGAAAAAUAUUUUUUCAUUCACCAACCAAAUAUUAGAAAUUCUCCAACCAAACAUGAAAAAUAAGUAAGAAAUUAACUUGUUUUCCAAGAAAAUAUUUUCUAGAAAAACAUUUUCAAUGGAAAACAUUUUCCUUCGUACCAAACACACCCAAGUCUAAGUCCAUUCUAUACUUCAAAGCAUAUAUACUAAUUGCUUCCUAUGACAUAGUAUGAGAUUUGUAAAGACCUGACACCUGGAUUUAAUUUAAUCCUAUGAACACACCCAAGUCUAAGUCCAUUCUAUACUUCAAAGCAUAUAUACUAAUUGCUUCCUAUGACAUAGUAUGAGAUUUGUAAAGACCUGACACCUGGAUUUAAUUUAAUCCCAAAAGUUAGAUAAUGUGAGAGGAUUGUCUAAAUUCAUAUAAGCAAACCUUCAAUCCAUUUUUCAUUUAACGUGGGACUUUUACUCACUCAAACAUUCUUUUCAUGCCUAGGGCCCAACUGACACGUAGAUUGGGAGACCAAACUAGGAUGAACUUCACUCUGAUACCAUAUAAAAAUAUGACACCUGCACCUAACUCAACCACAAAGCUAGCUCAUGGGAAGAGGAUUGUCCAAAUCCAUAUGUGUUGGGUUCGAAAUCGAGAGGGCGUCAUGCGGAAGCUAUUAGUUGCAAACUAUGAGACGAUAAAUAAGAUGACAACGAAAAACAAUACUAAAAACAUAAUUUUAUUAUAUGAUUUGGCCAAUUGGCCUACAUAUAAAACCUAAUAUUAAAAAAUAUAAAACUGAGAAAAUCUCCCCCUAAACGAAAAUCUUAAAAGACUACAUUGUGGAUGCUAUUAUUGUGUUAUGGUAUGAGAAGGGAUUUUCUAUUUAUAGAUAUCCAAAACCUUUCCUCCAAGAAAGAGGCUAGGCAAAUAUGGAAAAGAAUUAUAUUGUUUCCUUUCGAGAAAAGUAAAAGUAAUUAUGGUAACUUUUAUUUUCCUUCUAAGAAAAAGUAAAACUUAAAUAUAGUAAGAAAAUCAGGGCAAAAACCCUAACAAGACUUUCACCCACUUAAUUAACAAGAUUGAUGUAACGACAGUUAUGAUUUAUUUACAAAUUUGUUCUAGAAAUUCAUACGUAUUAGAAUUUAUUCCAGAAAUAUCCCUCGGCAAUAAUAAUAACAUACUUAGAACAUUCCCCCUCACGUGCUGACUUAUUUUUUUGGUCAUGGGUCAAGCACAUGAAAAUUCUUUUUAAUAAUGGGUGGCAGUGAGAUUCGAUUCCAGGACCUCUGCCUGCUCUAAUACCAUGUUGAAGUUUGUAACCAUCUAAUUUAAAAGUUUAAGUUGUUAGAGAGAGCACACUUUUAUUAUUUAAUUAUAUUCUCACCAGAGAAAUUGUUUUUGAAGGACCCUUGGCUCAAGGAUACCAACUCCAAGUAAAAAAAAAAAAUAAUGAGUAAAAAACAUAUCGAUUAAUAAGUAAAGCAAUGCAAAGCCUGCCAAAAAACGAACAAUAACAACAACAUAAUGAAAAGAAAUAUUUAAUAAGUUAAAGAUGAUAUAAUAAAUACUUUAAAAUAAGAUGAAAAUGAAAAGUAAACUUUACGAAAACAUUUUUUUUUUCAACACAAUAUAAUAUAUAUCAUACAACAGAACAUUACAUGACCAUGACCAACCAUCCAUAGGAACUAUUGAAUGGCUUUAUUCAUACAAGCAAAAGUUCUAAAGUUGCAAGAUUUUUAGGGUUUUGCCACUUAUAUUACAAAGGAUUACAUUAAUAAUACAUAAUUAAGCACUAAUUAAUUAGUUCUGAGGCUCAGAUUCAGUGGCUAUUCCCAAGGCCAUAUAUUCCUCAUAGGUGCAGCAAUGGUGAUAUUUGCAUUUAUGGUAACAUCCUUUAUGUUUAUAUCCUCCACCCUUAUAAUAAUGGUCACCUCCAACACCAUCAACGUCUACUUCCUUCGCUGCUGCAUCGAUGAAUUGAGAAUAUUAAAACUUAUGCAUAUCUAUUGAUGACUGAUCUUUGAAUUGAAAUUUCUAUUUAUGUGUUGUACUUUUCAUUUAAUUUUGUUAUAGUUUUAAGAUAAUUUCUAUCAUGACUAUAUAUAUAUGUAAAUAAAUUUUUUGUUUCAAUCUGAUAUGUUUAAGAUCACAAGAUUCAAAGGAUAUUUUAGUAUGUUCUACACACUUUUAGUUUAGUUUGGAUUGAAAAGUUUAUGCUAUAUUCUUCAAAUUCAUGCAUAGUGACUGAGACAUAUAAAAUGAAGCAUAAGGAAGGUAAAUUAAGUGUCAUGAUCAAGCUAGUGUUAGUAAAACAUUAGGUUAUCAUCUAACAUUCAUAAAACCUUACAAAUUUUAGUUCAUGGUCUAAUUUUAUAUGCUGGACGUAUCUUUACUAUGUCACUUUUUUUAUUUAAAUUCAAUUACCCAGAUAUUCGAGGCAAAGAGCGAUGAAAACACAAAGUAAUGCGUAAAGAUAUGCUAAUAUAACACAGUAACAUCAAUUGUUUCUUGUUUUUUUUUUUUUUUCAAUGAAUUCAACUACAUAAAGAGAAAAUGAAAGAUGAUACUUACAGUUGGGAGUCUCAGAUUCAGUGGCUUUUCCCAUGGCCACAUAUUCUUCAUAGGUGCAGCAUUUAUGAUAUUUGCAUUUAUGGUAACAUCCUUUAUGAUAGCCACCCUUUUUAUAGCCACCUUUGCCACCAUAGUAAUGGUCAAGAUCUACUUCUUUCUCCGCUGCAUCGAUGAAUUGAGAAUAGUAAAUCUAAUGCAUAUGCACUGACUGAUCGUUGAAGUGAAAUUUCUCUUAUUAUAAAUUAUGGCUGUCAAGUGGGCCGGGCCAACCUGGCCCUACUCGGCCCACUUAAAUAAAUCAGCCCAGUAAGCCCUAUGGCUUUAGGGUUUCAGGUCCCGGGCCGGUUAUUUUUUUAAUUUGGGCCUGGUUAACCCGACUCGGACCUAGCUCGGUCCAGGCCCGUCGGUUAACCGACCCCGCCCAGCCCGGAGUCUUUUUAUUUUUUUAAAUAAUUAUUUUUUUGUAUAAAUUAGUAUAUAACUAUACAAAUAUAUAUUCUAAUGUGUGUGUGUGUAUAUAUAUAUAUAUAUUAUAAUAUAUUUCAUUUAAUGUAUUACAUAUACAUAGAGUAGAGUGUAUAUAUGUGAAUAGAUCUUCUAUAGAAGUGUAUAUUUAACGUAUACAUGUUUAUAUAUUUUAUAAAUUAGUGUAUAACUAUACAAAUAUAUAUUGUAAUGUAUAUAUAUUGUAGUAUAUCUCAUUUAAAGUAUUACAUAUACAUAGAAUAGAGUGUAUAUAUGUGAAUAGAUCUUCUAUAGACGUAUAUAUUUAACGUAUACAUGUGUAUAUAUAUAUAAUUAUAUAUGUAUAUAUUGUAGUAUAUUUUAUUUAAACUUUAAAGUUUAAAGUAGUACAUAUAUAUUUGGAUGGUGCGUAUAUAUGUGUAAUUGUGUAUAUGUGUAUAUAUUUUUUAAAUUUUAAUGUAGUAUAUACUAUAUAUAUAGUGUAUAUAUAUUGUUUAACGUAUUUGUAAUGUAUAUAGGUGGGUAUAUAUAAUGUAUAUUGAAAUUUUUUUAUUUUUGACCGGGUUUGAUCGAUUUUUUAAUCGGGUUUGACAGGGUUUAGGUGGGUUUGACCGGGUUGGGUUAAGUGGGUCCGGUUAGGGUGGUUUUUGAUUUUUUUACUGUUGGGCCCAGCCCAGACUGGCCCACUUAGACCCCAACCCGGAACGGCCCUCAACCCGGUUAAAUAACAUGGGCCGGUUCCGGGUUGGCCUGACCCGGCCCACUUGACAGCCAUACUAUAAAUAUAUUCAUAUAAAUUUUUAGUUUCAAUCUGGCAUGUUUAAGUUCACAUGAUUCAAAGGAUAUUUUAGCACGUUUUACACACUUUUAGUUUAUAUUCUUCAAAUUCAUGCAUAGUGACUGAGACGUAUAAAAUGAAGCAUAAGGAAGGUAAACUAAAUGUCAUGAUCAAGCUAGUGUUAGUAAAACAUUAGGUUAUCGUCUAACGUUCAUAAAAUCUUACAAAUUUUAGUUCAUGGUCUAAUUUUAUAUGCUGGGCGUAUUUUUAAUAUGUCACUUUUUUUUUUUAUUUAAAGUCAAUUACCCACAGAUUCUAGAGAAAAAGCAAUAAAAAUGCAUAAAGUAAAGCAUAAAGACAUGCUAAUACGCCUAACAUAGUAAAAUAAGUAAUGCCUAAAGAUAUGCUAAUAUGCCUUUCUUUUUUUUUUUUUCUUCGAAUGAAUUCAAUUACAUAAAAAGAUAAAUGAAAGAUAAUACUUACAGUUGGGAGUCUCACUCAACUCCCUAGCUAUUACUUCGGAGCUUAUCAUUAAGAAAAUAGCCAAAAAUAGGCCAAGCAAUAGAAAUGUUUUGGAACCCAUUCUUUUGUUUUUUUCAAAGCUUAGUACUUAUGAUAAUUGAAAAUUGAGGGAUGAAGAAACUGAUACAUUCUUGGGCUCUAUUUAUAGGAAGAUUUAUAUGCAUAAAUAAUUGAAGAGAGGUGUAAAACUAGGAGGUGGGAGGGACAUGUAUUGGGAUGCAAUUAUUGUUGUGGACCAAAGAAACUUAACAACUUGGGUCUACAAGUGAGAGUUAAAGUCUUAAAGAGAAUGCUAGAUUUAACUUAUUCCGUAAUUUUUAAAUAACAGCACUAACAAGUUUAGUUAUUAUGGUAGUGAAGUUGUAACAAUACUAUUUUAAUGAAAUAUUUAAGUUUAUGCUUUGCAUGUGAAGCCUCAUUUGUUAGGCAUUGUUUUAUUCUAUGAAACUUUUUGGCCUGCAUCAAAUUUAAUUUAAAUCUAAUACCAAUAUAUUAUACGCGAAAACUAGACAUCGAGUGGAAAAUAAAAUAAAAUGAAAAAGCAAGUCAUCCAAGCAAAAUGUAGAUGUUGCAAGUAUUUACAAUGUUCCAACAACAAAAAAAAUGAACCUAACGAAUAUUUUGCUGAAUAUUUUGGCAAUUGGAAUGUUGUUCGAUCUCGUGACAGAUUCAGAAUUAUGCCGAAUCCUUUUAUAGCCAAGUAUAUAUUAUGACUUAAUAAAAGUGCAUUUUGUAUGAAGAAAGAUGUUUUUCCAUGAAAUACAUUUUCUUAGAAAAUGUUUGCUUGAAAUAUAAGUGAUUUAUUUUAGGUUAGUUUUUGAUAAAUAAGUGAAGAAUGUUAUAAUCUCAAAAAUAUUUAAAUUUAAUUUCACGAUAAAAUGGGUUGGAGAAUGGGGGCGGAAGGGCUAAAAUACUCAAAAGAUAAAGGGUUGUGGAUGUUGGAAAUCUUCCUUUUGAAAUAAUCGAUCAGUUUUUUUUUUUUCAUUUUCCUAAAUUUCUUAUCUUGUUUUAAAUUAUAUUUUUCGUUCAUUUUUAUUUGUUAAUUGUUAUAGUUCAUUUUAUGAAAGUCAAUCAAAUGAAUUUCAAAGUUAAAUUAAAGUAGAUUAAUUUAUUAUUUUAAAUUAAAUUUAGAUAUUUAAAAAUUAUAUAAAAAUAUAAGUUACUAUAUAAUCCUUCUCAUUAGUAUUAUAUAUAAGAGACAAAUCAAGGAAUUUGGUAGUUCCCACAAAAAUUUUCAAUUAAAUUUCAAUCUUUUCAAUUAAUUACUUUUUUGUCAUGAUCUUAUCUUUGAAAUCAAAUUUACUUUUUGUCUUUAGAGUUUACUUUUAGAAGUUCUUUUACCUGAUCAUUUUGAACGUGUUUUUUAUUUUUCAAUUCUUUAUUUUCUGAAUUUAUAGACAUUCAUUGACAUGAAUUACUAUUCAGAAGCCAUGUUUAAUUCUUUAUGCAUAAAGUGGAUCAUCAUUUUUCUUUUAGAAAAAACCUGACUUAGUAAACAUAAACACCUAAUUAAUUUAUUCAGACUAAGUUUUAAUUAAUUAUAAUUCAUAGUCUAAUUUAACUGUACUGCAUCCUCUCCCUUGCUAAUACUCUCCUUCCAUCUCUCCCAAUCUCGUUGUAUAUCACUAUAUUUGUAUCAAUUAUAUUCGUUUCUUAUAAUCAGCUACAUAUGAUUGUAUUUUUAUAUUUUCUUGAAUUUAUAUUUAUAUGGUCCUAUAUUAUAUAUAGUUUAAUCACAACAUUUGUAUAUAAUAAAAUCAAAGUAUCAGAUUUUUGUUCAUUUUAUAUUUGCUAAUACAAAUACGAUGGAUGACAGUUUAUAUAAAUACAAUAGCUACACCGGCUACGACUUGUAAUUUUUUAAACCAUAGUUAUGCAUGCCUAAUUUUUCCUAUAUAUAUGCUGUUUUGAAAGUUUUCCUUUUUAAAAAAAAUAAAUUCUAUACGAACUUUUGUGAUUGAUUUAUAUAAUAACUGUUUAUGAAUCUCUUUAUACUCUUUAUUGAAUUAUUUUUUAAUUCUUCAUCUCAAAAUAUUUAAUAUUAUUUUUCACUUUUUGAGGAUCAACUUACAUAAAUUUUUAUCAAUAUUUUGAAAUUAUUUUCACUAUAUUAAUGGGAGAAUUGAUAUUUAUAAUACUUUUCAUAUAAUUUUUUAAUAUUUAAAUUUUAAUUUAAAAUAUUAUUUAAUCUAACUCAAUUUAACUUUAAAGAUUAUGCAAAUAUCUUUCAAAAAAACAUGCGGUGAGAUGAAAAAAGUAUAUUAUUUAAUCUUCAUCGAGUUGUAAAUAUUUUACAUGCUUCAAAGUUUAAAUCAUAUUAUUUUAUAAAAUAUUAAAUUACUUGUAUGUCGUUUUAGGAUAAUCCUUUCCCAUUGUUGAACUACCACAUGAAAAAAACUCAUCAAAUUAAGAAGAGUAUAUUAAGAAUCCAUUUACAAUUAAUCUUUUACCCCAAAAGCCAUAUGUUUCCUCAACUAUUAUAUAUACUUCCCCAAGGAAUUUUUCGCAAACAAUACUCCUAACUCACACCCCAAAAGCUAGCUCAUGAAAAAGAGGAUUGCUCAGCUCAAACCUAAUAAGGAGAGCAAGGACCUAUAAUCCCACCGAUGUGGGAUACCAACACACCCUCGGCACGCCCAAGAUUGGACAACUGGAAAAUAGACAAUAUAAAAUGGAGGGUCCAACAUUGGAAACAAAUGAAUUGGGUGGGCCUGGCUCUAAUACCAUGUUAAAAUUAGUCUUGAACCAAACUCACACCCUAAAAGCUAACUCAUGAGGAGAAGAAUUGCCUAUGCCUUAUAAGGUGGCCAAGAACGUUAUAACCCGCCGAUGUGGGACACCACCAAUAAUAAAUAUGUUGAUGUUGUUGUUAGUAGGUUUAAGUAUACUUAAGAGGGAGAGUGUAAAUCAUGAUCAAUUUUUUUUAUUAGAAAGAUCUCAUUACUUAUUUUAAGUGUCAUUAGCGUAAGGGGGAUUAAUUAAUUAAUAUGGUUUAAUUACGUCUCGACUUGUAAAACAAGAAAAAGACUUGUAUGAAACUGAAAAUUUUAAAUAUAUGUGUACAUGAAUUUCUUGUGUCAAAUAAAAUGUAUACUCCCUACGUCCCAAAUUAGCAGCUCCAAAUUGAGAUGACACAUUGAUUAAGAAAAAUAAUUAAUAAAAUGGCUAGUUUACUAUAAUACCCCUAUUAAAUGAUAUUUACAUUUUAAUUUGAAAAAAAAUAAUUACUGCAAAAGGUAAAAUAAGAAAAAAAUUUCUGUUAUUUCUUGAUUAAUGAAAAAAAAAGUAAAAUGAGAAAUUAAAUUAGAAAAUUUGAGACGGAGAAAGUAUUUUAUAUGCAUGAAUUUGUAGUGAGAGGCGCAUUUCUUCUACUAGUAUUAAUAUAAAAACAAAUACUCCUCCUGUUUCAUAUUAUUUGGCUCCUAUGAAUUUGACCCUCUCAUUAAGAAAAUAUUAAUUAAGAGGUUUAUUUUAUCAAAUUAGCUUUACUAAUUAUAUUUUGAAAAUAUAAAUUUGAGUAAAUACACUUUAUUUAGUCAUUUAAUGUUAAGGGUAGUAUUGGAAGAACAUAAUAAAAUUCUUUUGAUUUCAUCAAAGAAACAACUAAAUUAAAAUAAAUAUUUUUUAAAAAAAGGCCAACUAAAAUGAAACGGAAAAAUUAAUAGUAGGAUAUCUUAAAUUAUUAAUCAAACUUUAUUUAAUCCGUAAUCAAACACCGUCAAAAUAGAUUUCAAACCACGUGCAUGGGUUGGUGGCCCAGAAAUUAAUGCAUGUAGAAAAUGUCAAACGGUCACUUAUCAGUUUACUUAUCCAAGACUCUUCCAACUUGCCCUGCUGCCACGCAAAAGAAAAAAAUCAUUAAAAAUAUUAUCCUUCUUACCAAACAGAAAUUGUGGGGAUAUUGAGAAAAAAUGAGUUUUCUAAUAAAAAUAGAAAAUAGAUUGUAUAAAUAGAUUUUCAUAGUACAUAGCUUCUUUUAGUGGCGGAUCCAUGAAAAUCACACUUCAAACCAUUGCAUCUAAUCAUGUGUUUGUUCAUUAGGUGUAUUUUAAUAUUUUAUAUCAUUUAUUCUAUAUUUUUUAUAUAAUUACAUCUAAUCUACGUCUAGUUUAGUGAGCAUUGAAGUAUUCGAAAAAUACACAUGGAUCCGCCCCUGACUUCUUUUCACCUUUUGACAGACCUCAUCUUCACUCUCCGAACUUAACUCCAACCCCCCGCCACCCCCUUUCUCACCAAUCCAUACACUUACCGCACCCACUCCCUCAUCUCACUUAUGGACGAAGCCACCUUAGACAAAGAACAGUUUGGUACACACUAUAUAUUCAUCAAAAAUUUAUUAUGUUCAUAUUCUAAUGAGGUUAAAUGUUAAUUAUUAUGAAUGUACAAUUAAAAAAAACUUUAUAUACUCUUCAUCAAUAUAAUAUUUUCAAUUAUAUAUUGAGUUAAAAAAAAUAAGUGUGCGUAUAUUUCUUUCGGAUCCAAUACACCCAAUAUCAUAUACAAUCAAUGUUGAUAUAUAAUUAGAUAUGAAAAAAAAUACAAGUAGCAUAUUUAAGUAUUAAAUUAUAAAAAAUAGUAAUACUUUUAUUAAAUUAUAUUUUGUAGCAUAUUUAUUUAUAUUUUUGUAGCAAUAAUUUGCAAAAAUACAAAAUAUAUAUCGAUUAUAAGGGCAGUAAAAAUCACAUAUAUUUGUAUUUUUGUAGCAACAGUUUGCAAAAAUAUAAAAUACAACUUGAUAUAUUAUGUAAUUAUGAAACUAUUGCUAUGAAACUCAAAAUUAAGGGGAUAAGUAUGCUAUUUCUGAAUUUUUCCCAUUAGAUAUUGUACAUAUACUAAUAAGAAGGACAUGAACUAGCCAUUUUAAAAAAAAAUGGCCCAUGGUUUAAAAAUGUGGACAAUUGCAGCUGGUCGGUCCAAUUUAAUUUUCUUUUUUAGUCAUUUGGCCCAAUUGGGCACAUGCAGUCUCUAUACUCAAUUGAUACACUUUUAUACCACAUUGAGAUACUUUUAUACUAUAUUGAUACACUUUUUUAAAAAGAGAAAGGAAAUUCUAUGCAAGCACCUGCAGUCCCUAUACCCAAUUGAUACUCUUUUAUACCACAUUAAUAUACUUUUAUACUAAAUUGAUACACUUGCAGUGUCCAUAUACUCAAAUUGAUACUCUCUUAUACUAGAUUGAUACAUUUUUAGAAUGCAUGUCGAAACUAUCUAGAGAGAGUCGUAUAAAAUAUGUAUCUAAAUAAUAACUGUAGUUAAAAAUUGUAUAGAAUGUGUAUAAAAAUGCUAUAAUUAAUGUAUAGAAUAUGUAUAUAUAUAGAAACUGUAUCAUUAUUAUAUAUAAAUAUAUAUCUUUAACAAUUGUAUUAUAUUAAAAGUAUAUGGUAUUGUAUUUUAUUGUAUAAAUAAGUAAAACUAAACAAAACAAAUAGUAUAUUAUUUUAAUAAUGUUGGUGAAUGCAAACUAAUAUAAAAAAAAUUGUUUAAAAAGAAUAAAAAAGAGUAGAAUAAGAAAAGGAGCCAAAAAAAGCAUCAACAAAAAUUUUAAAAAAAGAAAAGAAAAGAAAAAGGAAGGUAAGAACUUGACCUAGAAAAAUUAAACCAGUGAAUAUCUAAACAUUGUCCACCAAAAGAAGGUUAGAAAUUGGGGUAUCUAUUUCUAAACCAUUCGGUUGGAAUUACUUUCCACCGAGUGGUUAUUUAUCGGAUUUUAAAAUUUAGGUGUUAAUUUUAUGAAAUUAUUUUAGUUUUAGGUGUUAUUUUUGUCCUUUUUCUUCUUUUUUUUAAAGAAAAAUUAGCCCAACUAAAAUUUACAUAUAUACACUAAAUAAAAUUGCUUUAUUACAUAAUAUACCAAUUUGGUAAAGUAUUUACACAUAUCCCAAAAUAUUUACAUAAAUUCCUUUAUUUUCAACUUUCUCUUUCUUAAACAUUAUACAUCUCUCAACAGAUUUUCUCUUCCGUAUUUUACUCCUCCAUAUCCUCCCACAACACCCGAUUUUUACUCCAUAAUUGAACCCCCUUAUUCUCGGCAAAAUUGAAGAAUCGUGUAUCUAGGGGUUUCAACUAGUAAGUUAGAAGAUUUUUCUUUUCUUUUUUUAACUUUUUCAAUUUUUGAAGUUGAUCGUAUAUUGGGAUUGUUGCAUGUUUGUUUUACCUUACUUUGCAAGUAUUUUCAAGUUUCGUAGUUCGAUUUUUAUGUUUUCUUCAUAUAAUACUCUUGGUUUGUAGCUUUUUUUUUUUUUUUUUAAAUUUACCUAUUUUUGUAUUUUUCAAUUUAUUUUAUGAAUGUAUGUUUGUUUAUAAGGAUUUACCACAUUUUUGCAAGUAUUUUUAAGUUUUGUAGUUGAUUCGGAUCGAAUGUAUUACUGAAAAAAAUUGGUAAUAGAUUCUUGUCCUAACUUUAGUUUAGGACUUAGUCAGUUAGAUUCUAAAAAACAAGAUAUACCCGUUGGGUUUGUUCCUGGUACAUUUGAUUUAGAAGAACCCAAUUUCACAGAGAAUCGUUCAAAGCAUCGAAACGAUCCGACAACAAUGAAGAGAUUGAAGGAAACGACCACUUCCAUAUCAAAGAAAUCAAGUUCAAAAACGGCCAGUAAGAAGAAGUUUGAUGAUUCCCGUAGACCACGUCUUUCGAAGAUAUUGAUUAAACAUUGUACUUUACUUACGUUGCAACAUUAUUGUCUAAUAUAGUGGAACAUAGAAUUUUGUGCAACACUAAUGUAUAAUAUUACUAAUAUGUUAUACAUUUCAUUUUUUUUAUACAUUGAAUAUUCUUAUUACAUAUUAGAAGCAUUUGGAACUGGGUGUGUUAUUAUACAUUUAUGAAGUCUUCCUUUUGUAUAAGGUUUUAUUAUACAGUCUGACAACAUUGUAUGUCAUAUAUGUUUAAGGUGAAAUGUUUAGUCUGACAUUAUAUAUUGCAUAUAUUUGAUUACUAAUGUAUAAUUUUAUUACAUAAAUUUUAUUAUACAUUGCUUUUCAUACUAUAUUAUACAUAACAAGUAUUGUAUGGUUUAGUUGAUAUUAUACAUUUAGGGAGUUAUACAUUUCAUUUUUUUAUACAUUGGAUGUUCUUAUUACAUAUAAGAAGCAUUUGGAACUGAGUGUGUUAUUAUACAUUUAUGAAGUCUUCCUUUUGUAUAAUGUUUUAUCAUACAUUCUGACAUUUAGGGAGUUUUCAUACUGUAUAAAGUGACAUUAUACAUCUGAAUAGCUGAUAUGUCAUACAUUUUUGUAAGGUGAACUAGUUUAGUACGCAACAGUAUACAUUAUUGCAUCUCAAACAUUUGUAACUUUUUGUGUAAUUAUUGUAUUAUUUUAUUAUUUUAGGGCAUGAAAUACCGUAUAAAUAAAGUCCCGGAGCACCCUUUGCAUAUUUUGAGCUCAUGCAAUCGUGAUUUUGCUGAAGACAUAAAGUCUUAUUUUGGAGAUGAUAUUUUUAGGACAUUUAGAAAUACGUUAUUUGGGAUUUGCUUGACCUUCCGUAGUGCAAUUGGAUUAGGUAGAUUUCAAAAUGUAUCCUUAUGCUAGAAAUCCAAUAAUAUAUUAAGGACGAGAUACAUGUGUGUGUGCAGGGGAAGAUUUUAAAAUUUAUCAUGAAUUUGUCAUUAUCAGCGGCCUGACUGCACCGAUGAUAUUGAUGAGUUUAUGUAUACUUCAUCAUCAAAAUCCCCUUUGAUUUUAAAGUAUUUUUCUAAAUCUGGAGGUGAUAUAACUAGGUCAAAACUGAUAACACGUGUGAAGAUAGGAAAUUUCAAGAACUCUGAAUAUGCUUUGAACUUUGCGAUAUUAUAGUUUGUUCAUACAUUCAUGUUAUCUCAGCAUAAAGAAGCACCAAUUAGUGUAGCUCACUUUCAAAUGAACGAGGAUGGUCGGUACAUACACUUUUCAUGGGGAAAGAUAAUUUUUAAAAAGUUGAUCAACUCAUGGCGGCAAGAGUUUAGAGUCGUAAAGCAGUUAUAUUCUUUGGGUGGAAUGCCCCACGCUCUAAAUGGCUGGAUAUUUGAGUGUUGCUCUUCAGUUGAUAAAAAAAUUGCUUUGCGACAUGAAAACAUCAUCCCAAGAACACUUAACUGGUCUAUGGAGUGUACAAGGUCUAAGUAUAAAUCUUAAGUAAGGUAAUUAUAUAACAUAUUAAAUAUUUUUAUUUUAUACUCAACUUAUCGAAGUUUUAAUAUUUCAUUUUAAAAAUAAUUUUUGCAGUGUUCUUUCAAGAAUUUACAACCUACAAGUGAAGAAGUUCGUACUUUAGAUUUGUCUUUCUCUGAGGAUUUUGUGAUUUUUGAUCCAAUAUCUGCUGCUUCCACUUCUGUUGCUGCAACAAUGCAAACAUCAGGCGAUGAAGAUCAAUCGCGUGUUGUCACUGCAGAUGACGAUUAUGAUGAUUUCCCCACUGGACCUACUCAGGAAUUUCUAUAAAAGGCUCAUUUGGCUACACCUUUAUCAACUAAACAGCCAUCCAAAAGAAGUAAAACAGUUAUGUUUCAGGAAGUUAGUUCAGCUGUGACAAAUGCACAAAAAUCAACAAGUUCUCAUUCAGUACGUCACGUGUCUGGUAUGUUUUCUAAAAUACAAUAACAAUUAAUAGAUAAGCUACAAAUUCGUGUGUCUGAUUUUGAUCAUCGUCAUCAAGUAGAAAUUGGUGUGUCUCCUGAGUGCAAACAAAUCAAGUCUGUUCCUUCAUCUUCCACAACGCCUGAAGGAACUUCUAAGUCUAAUUUAGAUAUGGAGCAGAUAAAGAGUUACAUCAAAAUAUAUGUAAGUUAAUUUUCUCAUUCACAAAUUAUUAUUUUUGAAAAGUAUUACUUGUUUCUAAUAUCUUAUUGUUUAUCUGUACGUUAUAAGGUUGAUAAGCAAAUUGCUGAGCUGAAAACACUAAUCUCCAAUAUACCUGCUGAGGUCGUUAAAGCAUUGAAGAAAGAAGAGAAUAAAGAAUCUCCGGUAUAAAAUAAUUUUCCUUCAAAUUUUUAAUACUUUGAAUAAAUACUCAUACAUUAGAAUUAUUCAUGAUAUAUAGGAGGAGAAAAUUGUUCAUCAACGAGAAGGUGUACAGGGAGGCUAAAAAAUAAAUGACAGUAUUAAUAAGAAUGAGUUGCGGGCAAUUUUAAUCUACAUUACAUUGUCAUGUUACUAUUAAUCUGUAUAACUCCAACAUCUUAACCUUUUUUUGUUUGGUUCUUAUACAGCAUGAAGAUGAGUACACCAGACCAGUCAUUCACAUAACAAAUGAUGAACCAUCAGUAAUUGAAACUUUGGAAACAGAUCCAAGAUUGUGUCCACAUUCAUACUGAAUGUCCAACAAUAACUGAGGUUCAAUUCAAACAGAAAGUAUAUAUAUGAUAUGUAUAAAUAUGGUUAUACAUUCACAACCAUGCAUAAUAGUUAUCAAAUUAUAAAAAAAAUAUUUUCAUUCAUCAAUAUAUAAAUUGAAUUAAAUGUAUAGACAUCCUAUUGUCAAUUUUUUGUAGGAUGAGCACAUGAAUGAUAAAGAAGAGGGACAUGAAGAAGAAUCGCAAAACACUCACAGUAAUAAUAUGAAAGAUAUAUCGAUACAUUUUUGUCUCUCAUGUUGGUUUGUUCUUAGAUGAGAUGAAUCUCAAUAUUUUAAAACGCUUUACUUGUAGGCUGUUACAGUAUUAUUAUGCAUACAUUUGAAUGUAUAAUGAUAUGUUAUACAUUAUUAAUACUGAUAGUCUAUUUGAGAAAAUGAAUGUUCUUUAUGAAUAUCCUCAUACAUAUCUAUGUUACUUACAAUUAUUUAUGUAUGAACAUUGCUCAAUAACAACUCAAACAAAGUGUGAAUACAUUCAUACGCACUCCUUACAGACACCAUCUGCAAAUCAGUAUUAUAAUAUUUUUCCCUUUCCAACUAGUGGUUACUUUGAUUAAAUGUUCAUACCUUCUAAUUAUCACUUAAUUUAGGUUGACCUUAUCCCUGAUAAAGAGCAAGCUGGUCUUGAAGAUUUGGUGAAAGAACAUGGUCCUGUGAUGGUAUCUUUGUUGUUAUUUUUUCAAAACUCUUGCUGGUUUAAUUUACAUCGUAAUACUAUCUUAUUUUGAGACUAUUUUAGUUUCAUUAUACAUUCAUUUGAAUGUAUAACAUUAUGUUAUAAAUAAAAUCAGCACAUCACAAAUACAUAUGCAUUUGUUAUACAUUUCAAUUUCGAAUCAUCAGUAUAUAUUUUUUUAAUUAAACUACGUAUCACUUUGAAUAAGCUUUCAUACAUAAUAAUUGUUAAUGAAUGUAGGAUGAGCAUAAUGCUGCAGAAGAAGCAGGUUGUAUUGAAGAAUUGAAUAUACAACAUAGCCCUGAUAUGAAAUAUUUAGAGGUACUUUUUUGGUUGUUCAUAUUAUUUUUUAACUCAAAACUUACAUGCUUAUACAUUCACACCCAUGCCUAAUACAUAUCAAAUUAUAUAAAAAACUUUUCAUUCACAAUUUUAUGACUUUUCAAAUCACCAUUACAAUUUUUUUUCACUGAACUAUGUCUUACUUUGAAUAAAUGUUCCGACAUUCUACUUAACUCUUAAUUUAGGAUGAGCUUAUGCUCGAUAAAGAGGAAACUAGUGUCGAAGAUUUGGGAAAAGAGCACAGUCAUGUGAUGAUACAUUUCUUGUUAUUUUCUGUUUUACUCCUGCUGAUUUAACACUUCAAAUCUAAAUGCAUAGACUUACGACACAUUACUAUUAAAAAAGGAUCAUAAUAUUCCUAUAUGCAUAUCUAAAAUUUUCAAUUUUCAUUCUACAAUGAUUUAUUUUUGUUUUGUUACUUCGUAUUAUGUACUUCUAUUAUUGGUCUUUAUUAAUUAUAGCUCAUAAUGAAUAUUUAACAGUAUAUGAACUGAUUCUACCUAAGUAUAGUGGAUUAUGUAUAAUGUACAUUGCAAUACUAUCCUAAUUUGGGAAUGUUCCAGCUUCAUUAUACUUUCAUUUAAAUGUAUAACAGUAUGCUAUACAAUCAUACAGAGUAUUAUACAUUCAUAUUCAAUUUUUACAUAUACAGAUUUCAAAUCACCUUAACAUAUUUAUUUUCUUACAUAAUGAUUUUAUUUAAAAUAGUAUGAUCAUAUUGUCGCAAAAGAAUCACGUUGUGCUGAAGAAUUGAACAAACAUCAUAGUACUAAUGUGAAGGGUUUGUAAAUAUUUUUUUGAUAGUUCAUAUGUUGUUUUUUAACUCAAAAACUAUCUACAUAAAUGUAGCUUCUGUUUAGGUAUAAUUAACGUCAUACAUUAAUAUGUUUGCUUUUACACAUAACACAUCAAUAUUUUUUCUGUAGGAUGAUGUCAAUGCCACAAUAAUGGAGUCUGUUCAAGAUGCUUUAGAUGUACUAUUAUUUGAGUUGUCAAUACCAUCAAAUACAAAUAAAUUCAAUGUUGUUACACCAAAUAUAGUGACAAAAAAUGACCACUUUCAGAUAGUCAGUUUCCACCUGAUUUUUCGGAUGCUCAAGUAAGGGAGCUUAAAGCACCAAAACACGUGAAGUCAAAAAAUCACCUGUAAAAAGAGAUCGAAAAAAGUCGAAGAUUUUUAGGUCACCAUACAUCAUAAAAUUUGGAUCGAGCUCUAAAGAUAAGGGCAGUUCUGCUAAUGAAGAGAAGCAAAUGUAUGCUUUUGAUAGUUGUACCAUUUACGAAGAUUUGUCUAAUCAAUUGAUUAGUGAUUAUUCAUAGUGACUUGAAAUUGGGUUACUCAAAUAUCAUGUUUCCAAGUAAGUUAUUUAGAUAGAUUUCUAAAUUAUUAAAAAUAGUACAGAAGAAUAAAUCUUGGAGAAGUCUAAUCCUUGAUUAUGUUACAGGAAACAAACAGACAAUCACUAUCUAAAAAAUGCUCCAGGAUUAGGUUAUUCUUUAUUGGACUUUGUUGUUGCACAAGCACUCUCAAAGAAUUGGUUCUACUUGAUUUCGCAACACGUGUUGGAAUGAUGAGGUAAAUUAAACUAAACUAUAUCAUGCUUCUUUAAACUUUUACUAAAAAUGUACUCAUUAUUACGAAAUAAAUAGAAUCUAAUAUAUGAUUACAUAUCAUACAUGUGGUCUCAUGUAUAACCACAUUUUAAACAUGUCAUGGUAACAGAUCAUACAUUCAUUAUCUUUGUUGAAAACAUAAUAAUAACUAUAACAUAUGACUUUGUUUUAUGAUUACAUAUUAUACAUGUGGUAUGAUAUAUAAUCACAUUUUAUACAUGUUAUGUUAACAGAUCAUAUACUCAUGUUCAUGACCAAUACAUAAUAAUAACUAAAAUAUAUGCCUUAGAAUCAGUUGUAUGGUUAAAUAUCAUACAUGUUGUGUGAUUUAUAAUCACAUCAUAUAAAUGUAAUGAUACUAGAUCACUAAUUCAAGUUCUUAAGCAAUACAUACUAAUAACUAAACAUAUGCAUUUUUAUUUCAGUGUUUAACAUAAUCUUACCCUUUUUAACAUGUAGCACUUAGAUGUGAUAUUCUACCAUUUGACAAAAAAAUCAAAGUUGCAACAGUGUGAUACAUAUAGAUAUACGAAAAUCAGCUGCUUCUUCAAAACAUAUAUUGAAAAGACAUACGAACGAUAUUUUCCAACAGUUAAAGCAGAGCAGAUAUCCACGCAAGAAAACUACGUAAAAUUCGUUGCUUGUUCUUCAAAUGAAAUUGAUAUAACAAAUAUAAUUAAUGGAUUCUGUAAUCCUGCGAAUUUACCAUGGCAUUUGGUUGAUGAGGUAUAUGUUCCUGUUAACUGUGAAAAAGAAUAUCACUGGGUAUUGACUGUAAUUGUGUUAAAGAAAAGAACGGUACGUGUGUAUGAUUCAUCGUCAAGCAAAAGAAAAAAUGAACCACCAAUCGAAAUACGAAAUUAGCAGCCAUGCUGCGUACUUACUUGUCGGACAGUGAUGUUUUUCAAAAGACUGAAAGAAUUGACUGGUCAACACUUAAAGCGUACGAAGGGAAGCUUGGUCUGCAAACUGGAGAGAUAAGUCACAACCCAUUUGAUAUUGAAUACGCCAAAAACAUUCCACAACAAGCGUCUGAUAGUUUGUAAGUGUCUUUUACUUUUUAAAUUUUAACAUAUAUAAUCAUGGUAAAUUAGUUAAAGGAAUGGUUCUUUCAUUUUUUUAAAAUAUCAGGGACUGCGGGGUCUUCGUGGCUGCAUAUGCAGAAAUAUUGAGUGAAGGGCAGCAAGUCCAUUCAUGUGAGUUUGAAGGUUGCAAGUCAACGUGCAUGAUAUGCUUCGUUACUAUGGCAUUACGGAGUGAUGAAGACAAAGAAAGGUUAUACGAGUGAUAUUGACGAUCCUCCUCGGCCAAAAAAUACUUUUGUCCAAUCACCUGAUGAAAGUGCAAUUGUUACUUUGGAGUAGCUCCUUCUAAAAAUAUUCUAAUUGCUUUUUUAGUUGUUUCUGCUAAAUAGUUAUACACAGUAAUAUUUUUUUGAAUGUUGAUUUUUACGCAACAUUAUAUGGGUGGCAGUUUUUGUUCUACUACAUUUACAUUUACAUAAACUCUAUUGUGCUUAUUCUAUAUUGUUUGUUAAUUAGUCACUUUGCCAAACAUAAUAUUACCAACACUGUAUAACAACAAUUUAUAUAUUAAUGAAUUAUAUAUAGGUAAAACAUUGUGUUUUUUUCCAGCAUUAAAGAAGUUAAUAUUAUAUUAUGAGUUAAUUAUACAUUGAACAAGUAUCAAUUUAUUUUUGAUAAAUUUAUUAUAUAACAUCAUACACGUUGACACUCUUUCAUUGCUGAAUUGAAAACAGCUAUGGCAUUCAAAAAAAUUUAAGAAGAAUAACAGCAGAUCGUAAAUUCUAAACAAACAAAAUGUAUUAGUCAUUUGACGUAAUACUGAUAAGAAAAUAAGAAAAAGUUUUAAUACCAUACAUACAUCUUAAUGUAUAAUCUAUACUCUUAACACAAAAUUCUUUGCUUUAUAUUUUGCUAGUUCUUAUGUUUUUUAAAAUCAUUUACUUUAAUAUCAUACAUGUUGUUAAUGUAUAAUAGUAUAGAAUACAUAAUAUAUAUAAGACAGGUUAAUGUUAAAUAUAUUAUACAUUAUAACUACAUAUUACUACGUUACAAUAAUGAGCAGUAAAGUCACAAAAUAUAAUAAUUCAAAACUGUAUUAUUUGGUUGCGAAAAUAUCAAACAUUAAGUAAUAAUUAAACAUCACAUAACAGUUAAAAACAUAAAAUAAACUUUAACAAGUAUCAACAAAAUAAAAAAAAAUGAUGUUCUGUAGUUAUAACCAAACGAACAAUUAGCAUUUAGAACAACAAAAUAAAAUCUGUAACUUUUUUUGGGGAAGAAACCUCACGUCCUAUGGUUGUGGCCUGCACGCCUGCAUUUACUGUAAUGAUUUGAACUUAUAAGUGAUUCACUAGAUUUCAAAUGCCUUCCUUUCUUUGGCCUCCUAGGAGGUCUUUUGUAUUUGGGUGGCAAAACUUCGUCGGCAUCAACAAAAUGUGAAACAAUCCAAUCUUUCAUCUCUGGCAUAGGAACUAUGGGGAGUUCAUAUGUCUUGACAAUGGUGUUUGGCCUGUACAAUUCUGAACAGUAACGUCCAUACUCUUUUAAAUCAAUAUUUAUACUCUUCAAAAUGCUAUUGCGUGUGCACAUGAAAUUUCAUCAAUUUGAUACCGACAACAGUUACACGUGUCAUGAUCAAUAUCAAUAAUGUACCUCCUUCCUGAUUCAUACACACAGUACAGAUAACUACCAGCAGCCUUAACCUGUUAACAAUGAUUAAUUUUAUACAGUAAAAAAUAUAUAAAUUAAUAACAAAUAUAAAGUAGAUUCAACUAUCAUAAUACAUACCAUCAUCCGUAAUGACUUAACUCCAUUAUCAGUUAGAAUUUCUUGAAAUCUUCUCCCAAACGUUGUGUUUGUAUAAGAUGCAAUUUCACUGUUCUUACAAUUCCAUGCAGCGAAUAGAAUCUUAACUUCUUCAAGGAAAUCUAAAAUAGGAAGUACUCUAGCCUCUACCAAACAACAGUUAAUACAUUCAACUAUAUUAGAGGUCAUCAUUCUACCUUUAUUAAUAGGAGAGUGACAUCGAGAUCAUUUAUCAUAUCCAGCUUUUUCCAGAUAUUCCUUAACCCUUGGAUCAACCUUUUCAACCUUUGACACAAUGUAAUCAAAAUUUUCUUUUCUAUACGCUUUAGCCAUGGAAUAAUAAAGGUCACUAAGUCUAUCUUUGCUUUUUCUAAAAUAUUUAUAAAUAUUUUUUCAUAAAUGUCAAAUACAUGCAAGAUGGGGGACAUUAGGAUAAACAAUGCUCUCGCCCUUUAUGAUACACUCAUUUCGAUCCGAUACAACACACAUAUUGUCCCGUUUUCCAAAUGCUUCUUUAAAUUGAUGAAAAAAUUAAGUCCACGCAUUGUCAUUUUUUGAAUUCACAACACCAUAAGCUAAUGGAAGAAUACAUCCUAAACAAAAACAAACAAACAAAUUUAUAUGUAUAGUUCUAUAAUAUGUGUACACCACUGAACAGGUUUCUAAUUAUUUUACAUUUAAGUAAUACAUGACAUCAUACAUGUUGUCCCACCUUUAUCACUUAAUUGAAAACAAGUACAAAUAUAUAACAUCACACAUUUUAAUAACGUAUAACAAUACAUCAUACAUUGUAAAAAUACUGCUAGGAAAUUAUACAUUUAAUUAUUAGUAAAUGUAUGAGACAUUAAACGUAAAAUUGACAAGAAAAUAUUGAUAUUUUACAACAUCAUACAUACACCAUAACGUAUAAUCGCUAAUCAUACACAUAUCACACAAAUCAAAAUCUACUUAAGUUUUACUUAUUCUGUUUUAAAAUGAAAAUGCAAUUUAUAGAGUUGUUUAAACAGAAAGUAGCAUCUACUUUAUAAAAAAAAUUAAUAACACAAAAUAAAAGGCAUAAAAUCAGCUACUUGGUGAAGUACUAUAUGUACUCACUAAGCAAGUCCAAAUUUUAUUAUACAUACAUGGGCAACAUACAAUCAGCUAUAAUUCAUGCACAAUGCUGAAAUAUCAAAGAUGAAAAUUUUAAAGUAUGAUACCUGCACCAUCAAGAGUGCUCGCUGAUACAAACGUUCCUUGAUAUGGCCCGAUUAAAUGAGCACCAUCUACAACUACUAUUGGAUGGCAAAAUUUGAACCUCCUAAUCAUUGGAUGUAAGGCAAUAAAUAAGUAUUUAAACUCGUUAUCUAAUGUCUUAUCCAUCCGAAUGUAUGAUCCAGGAUAUACCUGGUUCAACAUAUAUAUAUAACGGGGCAUUUUUCGAUAUCCAUCAGCUGGUCCACCUCUAAGAAUCGCAAUUGCCUUUUCCUUUGCCCGUCAAGCCAUCAUGUAGUUAAUAUCAACACCAUAGACGACCUUCAUCUCUUCAAUUAUGUCUGUCGGUGUAUGUAUUCUCUUGUAAUUAAUUAACUUUGGUGCAGUAAAUUCACUGACAAAGGCUGUUGUUGCAACCAAAUUAUUCAGUAUUCUAUCACUCAGACUGCAAUUAUGUUUCGAAUCAAAUAUCUUUAUCGCAAAAAUUUCCGAAUGAUUCAUCGAAUAUGCCUUUAGAACACAUUUGCAAUCUUUGACACGGCAGUGUAACACAUAGCUGCAGUUACAUUUUAAAACAUGUUGUCAAUUUAUUAACGUACAUAUAAAUUCAAUAAUUUAAGUCAAAAUACCAUAAUUAAAUUGUUAUAGUUUUAUUAUACAUUCGAAUGAAUGUAUAAUGGCAUAUUAUACAUUGUAAAUAAAACUCCAUUUUGUGCAAACAGCAAAACCAGAAAUUGAAGUCAACAAUGAAACUCCAUUACCAAAGGCUAUUACAACACAACAACAUCCUUCACAACAUCUACAAAUAAAAAAUGAUAAUUUAUUUCAUACCUUUGUUUGUCAGAUCAUUUAGUAAAGGUGUUGAAGCCAUUCGAUAUCGCAUAUUUCGCCAUAACCGAUACCAAAGUUUGCUUAUCCUUAUAACGCUGGUUAACUUUUAUUUCAGUGUUCUUCAAAUUCCAGAACGUAUAAUGAAUAUUGAUUCUGAGUUUCAACAACAGUUAAAGCAACUGAAUCAGAUUCACUACCUUCAAUACACAUUACAACCCCAGUUUUACUAUCAAACUCGAUAUCCUUAAUCGAUUUAUUGAAAGUUUGUAUACAUAGCGAAAAAUUUAUAAUUCCAGAACCUUGUUUCUUCAACUCAAUAUAAACCUUCACUCCAUUAUCAUUUCUUAUGAUAAUUGGAGAAGAAUUACCAUCAACGAUGUAUUUUACUUCAAUUUUUUUCGUACAUCGUCAAUACCCAAUUCCAUCAUGAUUUUCGCAAUCAAUUUCAAAAAGUUAAUACUUUCUGAAAUAACAAUGGCAUCACUUUUGUAUGCUUUAAAACUUAUUUCUGCCUCCCAUACACCAGAAUGACGCAAACAUAUUGGGAUGUUCAUCUUUUUUCUCACAAGAAAUCACGAACAAAAUUUUUUUUCUUCCGAAUCGUAAAUCAAAAAAGAAGUCAAUUAGAGGUAAAGUUUAAGAGUUUUUUUUUUAAAUUCAAAUAUCAGUUACUAUUUUAACUCAUACAAUAAUUAACAUCAGGUAAUUAAAUAGCGUAAUUUAAGAAGUAGGGAUACAUUUACUAAUUCUCAAUCUCAUAAUUUUAGGUUAAUCAGAUUUAUGAUACAUUCAACGAACGUAUAACUACCAUCCGAAUGUAUGACAAUAUUUUACAAAAUAAGGAGAGAGAAAAUUUCAAGGGAGAUUAUGUAAAUAGUUUUACUUUAUGCGAUAUAUAUAUAUAUAUAUAUAUAUCUAUCUAUAUAUAUAUAUAUAUAUAUAUAUAUAUAUAUGUGGUUUAUACCGUCUAGAAAUGGUGGUGCAAAUAUACUCUUCGAUAUAGUCAAAUGUUUAGACUUAAAUGACGUAUUCAAUGACUCUUUUAGUGUACUAUCAAGUUUAAAUAAGAGGCCAGGACAAUCUCGUCAAUUUUCUUUAAAACUCGAGAAAAGUCUUCCAGAAAAUGACCUAACAAUACAACAAAAAAAAUUCUUCUUUCCUUGCUCUAAUAGAGUUUACAUUAUAUAUACAUUGAUGGCAUAAAAUAUUCAUAUAUUAUCAAUUCAUCUUUAAAAUGUUUAUAAUUAUUUAACUGCAUUUAUUUUUAUUACGUCUAAAAUGAUGAAAAUUUUAAUGAUGUUUUCCAUAGAAUCAGUCAGAAAAUGUCCGACGAGCCAAACUUCAACGAAUUUUCGAUCGGACACUAAAAAAGAUUUUCAUAUGACAAUUUUGUUCCACAAUAGGAUGUUUCUUGGGCACCGGCCGAUAUUUGUUACAUAUAACAACUUAAUUAUCUGCACACUGAUCUUUUAUGGUUAUUUACAAAUUGUAUAAAGGAAAAUUAUCUGUUCGAAUUUCGUAUAUGUAAAAAUAAAGAUCUUUUGUAUAAAGAACUUACGACGAAAGAUAAGAUUAUAAAAGAGUGCAAAACCAAAUCUUUCUUAUAAUUUAUUGCUAAUCUUUGUCAAGAUUAACAAUUAUGAAUUAGCGAAGAAUCUUGUUAUUUAGCUAAUAAUUAAUCCGUCCAUCGUUGUUUUCUAGCACUGAUAUUCGAGUUUUAAUAUCGUCCAAUUUGUAAUUAUUCCCCCCGUCUUCUCUAUCGAUCGAUGAGAUGGCUGCAACUGAACAAUUGACACCAUUAAAAUUCAAUGAGACACCAAUACAUCUCAUAGGCUAAGUCCCUUUUAUGCUCCGAAGGACGAUCACUUUGUCUAUGACUACCUUUCUAUACUUCAAACCGUAUGCUAAUUGCUUCCUAUUACAUGGUAUGAGACUUGUAAGAGUGACUCCUGCACCUAACUCAACCAAAAGCUAGAUCAUGGGGGAGGGGAUUGUCCAAUUACAUAUAAGUAAAUCGUCAGUCCAUUCUCCAAUUUAUAAUGUGAAACUUUCACCACUCUUAACAAGAUUGAUUUAAUGCAAGUUAUGAUUUAUUUACAAAUUUGUUCAGGAAAUUCCUACAUAUUAGAACUUAUUCCAGAAAUAUUCCACAACAACAAUAAUAACAUAUAUACUCAGUAAAUUUUCAUAAGUGGGGUUUAGAAAGUACAGUGUAAGUUGAUCUUACUACUAUCUCAUGGAGGUAGAGAGAUUCUUUCUAAAGAACCCUUGGCUAAGUGUACCAACUCCAAGUUAAAAAAAAAAAAAAAGAAACAAACAGUAAAAAAUUUUAUGGAUUAAUAAGUAAAGCAACGCAAAGCCUACAAAAAAGGAAGAAUAACAACAAGAAGCUAGAUAAUAAGAAAAAAUAUUUAAUUAGGUAAAGACCAUAGAAUAGUUACUUUAAAAUAAGAGGAAAAUUGAACUUUAUAGAAACAUUUUUUGUUCAACACAAUAUCAUAUGUAUUGAGUAUCAUACAGAACAUUACAUGACCAUGACCAACCAUCCAUUGGAACACUAUUGAAUGGCUUUAUUCAUACAAGUAAAAGUUCUAAAGUAGCAAGAUUUUUAUGGUCUUUGCCACUUACAUAACAAAGCAUUACAUUAAUAAUACAUAAUGAAGCACUAAUUAAUUAGUUCUGAGGUUUAGAUCCAGUGUCUUUUUCCAUGGCCUUAUAUUCUUCAUAGGUGCAGCAAUGUCCAUGGCAUUUAUAAUGACAUUUUUUAGGUUUAUAUCCACCAUCAACUUCUACUUCCUGCUGUGAUUCAGUGGCUUUUUCCAUGGCCAUAUAUUCUUCAUAGGUGCAGCAAUGGCCAUGGCAUUUAUAAUGACAUUUUUUCUUAGGUUUAUAUCCACCAUCAACUUCUACUUCCUGCUGUGAUUCAGUGGCUUUUCCCAUGGCCAUAUAUUCUUCAUAGGUGCAGCAAUGGCCAUGGCAUUUAUAAUGACAUUUUUUCUUAGGUUUAUAUCCACCAUCAACUUCUACUUCCUCGUGUGAUUCACUGGCUUUUCCCAUGGCCAUAUAUUCUUCAUAGGUGCAGCAAUGUCCAUGGCAUUUAUAAUGACAUUUUUUCUUAGGUUUAUAUCCACCAUCAACUUCUACUUCCUCGUGUGAUUCACUGGCUUUUCCCAUGGCCAUAUAUUCUUCAUAGGUGCAGCAAUGGCCAUGGCAUUUAUAAUGACAUUUUUUUUUAGGUUUAUAUCCACCAUCAACUUCUACUUCCUGCUGUGAUUCAGUGGCUUUUUCCAUGGCCAUAUAUUCUUCAUAAGUGCAGCAAUGUCCAUGGCAUUUAUAAUGACAUCCUUUGUGUCCUCCACCUUUAUUAUAAUGGUCACCUCCAACACCAUCAACGUCUACUUCCUUCGCUGCUGCAUCGAUGAAUUGAGAAUAUUAAAACUUAUGCAUAUGCAUGUACUCACGACUGAUCUUUGAAUUGAAAUUUCAAUUUAUGUGUAGUACUUUUCAUUUCAUUUCGUUAUAGUUUAAGAUAAUUCCUCUUACUAUUAUAUAUAUUUAAAUAAAUUCUUAGUUUCAAUAUAAUAUGUUUAAAUAUUUUGAAUUGAAAUUUCAAUUUAUGUGUCGUACUUUUUAUUUUAUUUUGUUAUAGUUAAGAUAAUUCCUCUUACUAUGAUACAUAUUUAAAUAAAUUUUUAGUUUCAAUAUGAUAUGUUUAAAUCUACAAGAUUCAAAGGAUAUUUUAGUAUGUUCUAAACACAAUUUAGUUUUGUUUAGCAAGGAUUGAGAAGUUUAUGCUAUAUUCUUUAAAUUCAGGCAUAGUAACUGAGAAGCAUAAGGAAUAUAUAUUAAGUGUCAUGAUCAAGCUAGUGUUAGUAAAACAUUAGGUUAUCAUCUCACAUUUAUAAAAACUUACAAAUUUUAGUUUGUGGUCUAAUCUCAGAAACAACUUCUCUAUCUUGCAAAGAUUGGAGUAACAUCAACUUACAUAUUCUAUAUAUCUUCCGUAGUCUCUACUUAUGAGAUUACACUGAAGAUAUAGUGUGUGAUUUAAUUUUAAAUUUUCAUAAAAUUUUCAGAAUGCUCACAUUGAAUAUAAUUUUAAACAGUGGUUUAAAAGUUCUAUUAAGUAGCAUAAACAAUAAAAAGAUGACCAUUUACUAAAAGGAAAAGCCGAUUAAAAUAAGAUAUUAUCUUCAAUUAAAUGCUAGGAGUAGAACCUGUUAAAAUACUAAUAGCAUUUCACAUGCUGGACAUAUAUUUACUAUGUCACUAAAUUAAGAGCGAUAAAAAACGUGUAAAGUAAUGGAUAAAGAUAUGUUAAUAUGGCUAACGUAGUAACAUCAAUAGGUUUUUUUUUUUUUUUUUUUUUUUCCGAAUGAAUUCAAUUACGUAAAAAGAUAAUGAAAGAUAAUACUUAC